GAUGAACGCUGGCGGCGUGCCUAAUACAUGCCAGUCGAGCGGAAAGACGCAAGCUUUCUUGCUUACUCGAUAGCCGAACGGGUGAGUAACACGCGUGGGUACUGCCCUUCUCUUCGGGGUAUGACUGCGAAACAGCGUCUAAUAUAGGAUAGGACAUAUUUUAGGAUGUCAUUGUGGAGAGUUAUUCCGGUUUGCUAUGAGUUCUCGGUCUAUCAGCUUGUUGGUGGGGUAAUGGCCUACCAAGGCGUCGACGGGUAGCCGGCCUGAGAGGGUGUACGGCCACAUUGGGACUGAGAUACGGCCCAGACUCCUACGGGAGGCAGCAGUGGGGAAUAUUGCACAAUGGGCGGAAGCCUGAUGCAGCGACGCCGCGUGGGGGAUGGCGGCCUUCGGGUUGUAAAAUCCUAUCGCUAGGGAAGAAGCGUUUUUGUGACGGUACCUGGAGAAGAAGCACCGGCUAACUACGUG
rnacentral:rRNA from 1 species